rnacentral:rRNA from 1 species
UACGUAGGGGGCAAGCGUUGUCCGGAAUCAUUGGGCGUAAAGAGCGCGCAGGCGGUCGAAGAAGUCGAAUGUGAAAGCCCCCGGCUCAACUGGGGAGGGUCAUUCGAUACUGUUCGACUUGAAGGCAGGAGAGAGAAGCAGAAUUCCCGGUGUAGUGGUGAAAUGCGUAGAUAUCGGGAGGAAUACCAGUGGCGAAGGCGGCUUCUUGGCCUGUUCUUGACGCUGAGGCGCGAAAGCUGGGGGAGCGAACAGG